UAGGGAAUCUUCCGCAAUGGGCGAAAGUCUGACGGAGCAACGCCGCGUGAGUGAUGAAGGUCUUCGGAUCGUAAAACUCUGUUAUUAGGGAAGAACAAAUGUGUAAGUAACUAUGCACGUCUUGACGGUACCUAAUCAGAAAGCCACGGCUAACUACGUGCCAGCAGCCGCGGUAAUACGUAGGUGGCAAGCGUUAUCCGGAAUUAUUGGGCGUAAAGCGCGCGUAGGCGGUUUUUUAAGUCUGAUGUGAAAGCCCACGGCUCAACCGUGGAGGAUCAUUGGAAACUGGAAAACUUGAGUGCAGAAGAGGAAAGUGGGAUUCCAUGUGUAGCGGUGAAAUGCGCAGAGAUAUGGAGGAAAACCAGUGGGGAAGGCGACUUUCUGGUCUGUAACUGACACUGAUGUGCGAAAGCGUGGGGAUCAAACAGG
rnacentral:rRNA from 1 species